CGGAUCGCAGGCUGCAACCCGCCUGCGUGAAGUUGGAAUCGCUAGUAAUCGCGGAUCAGCAUGCCGCGGUGAAUACGUUCCCGGGCCUUGUACACACCGCCCGUCACACCAUGAGAGUCGGGAACACCCGAAGUCCGUAGCCUAACUUUAACGAGGGGGCGCGGCCGAAGGUGGGUUCGAUAAUUGGGGUGAAGUCGUAACAAGGUACC
rnacentral:rRNA from 1 species